GUUUGUAAUUAAAUCACAUCUUGUUUGUUUGAUUUAAAAUCCACUGGGGUGGUGUACAGAGGCAAAUUUACAAUAAUUUUGUAAUUGUUCCAACACAUAUGGACCUGAUUUUAAGACCUUAUAAAACAUUUCAAAGAAUUCACCAAAUGGUUAAAAAAAUGUGUUGAAAUUGAAGCUCAGCCCUUAAAGCACAGCUAAGGACAGACAGACAUGUCCAAAACAAGUAAGUAAGUAAGCUCAUGACAAAGACAUGUCAUAAUUUAAUUCUUUAUCUUCCAUGAAUCAGCUGGAGGUAGUAGCACUGAAAGGAAAAUUGCAUUUCACCAUCAGGUACAACAGGUUGCAAGUAUAGGUGUCAUGAUGGUGCUGUGAUGCAGGUGGAGUAGGUGUAGUAGGACCCAAACACAGGACUCAAAACACAAAGGGGUGAACUAAAGGAGGCAGCUUUAUUGUGCUGUAGCAAAACUUGAACAUUACAAACAGGGAAAAGAAAACCUAAACAGGAAACUAGGGACGGAGAACUGAGAAAGAAGAAUCAAGGAGAGUGAGGACAACGAAGAACACGGAGAAACCUACACAGCAAUGUGGGACGACAUGACAACAAGCAGAGGUAGACAAAGGGUUUUAAUACACAGAGGAGCAAUGAGGGAAGUGGAGACACAUGGGGAACACAACUGGGAGACAUUUAUUUAUAUAGCACAUUUAAAAACCAGUGGUAUAACAGUUUUUUGCUAAUAGAUAUCUCAGUCCUCUCAAGAUGUGAAAAGUGAAGGAAAAAUGAUCAAAAAUACAAUGGUGAGGAGAGUGGGCUGAGAGGAUGAAAGGAGUACUUUUAAGAAAUAAUGAAAGACAAAAUAAGAGAGAGGAGGAUGGAUGAAGGAGAGUUAGUGCAGAAGAUUAGUAAGAUUUAAGAGAGGGCAGCUAAGUAGAGGAUGAGCAAUGGAAUGACAGUUAUUUCAGAGAACAUCCCUGUGGAGUUAUGGUCUGAAGAAUAAAAAAGAACUAACCACCAAUUUUCAAGAAGUAAAGAAGGAUAUGCAGAGGGCUGUGACAAAGAAUGAUUGCUAUCAAAUAAGGUGACACUAAGGCUGUCACGGACCUGGGUUUGAGGGACCCAGGGUUAUUGAAUAUGUUAUAGGCAUGUGUAUUUUUGGUGCUGCUGUCCCUCGUCUUCCUGGUUUUUGGGUAUGUGUGUGUGGGUGUCUGUACAGAGCGCCGGUCUACAGGCAUCUUCAGGGCUGGUGUGUGUGUGUUCAGCCUGGAGGAUGGCCACACCUGAGGGAGAGGAUCACACACCUGCAGCUGAUCAGGAUCGUUGGGGGAGCUACAAACCAGUGUGGCUGAGAGCGCCUCGACGCGGGAUUGUUGCGUAAAACUCCAUGAGGAGCAUAUAAACAGGAGGGCAGCGAGCACAGGGAGUGCGCACACGGGAGCAGAGAGUACAAAGACAUGGAUUUUUGGGAGAGCAGUCAAGGGAGCAAACAGGGAUUUAUUGUCAUUUUCUGCAUUGUAAAUAAACACAGUUCACUGACAGAGUCCAGCGUUUGGGUCCCCCUUCCCCACUUCCCCACGGUCUGCCACUCAGACCGUGACAGAACAAUCCAGCCAACAUGGAUUAGGCGGAAUCAACAGAGAAGUUUAGGAGAAAUGUUACAGGCAAAGUUAAGAGACUCUGUGACCUAUAGCUGGAAGCGCAUGGGGAAGAAGUGCGUCGCACUGUGGAAAAGUGGCUGCAGGAGAAACUGUCUUGCUUCCUCUGGAUAAUGGACUGUCUCUUUCCAAUCAUUUCAGACUUCUUAAUUAACACGCUCCAUCUUCACUCUCCGACCCAGGCUGUUUUCCAGCCCAGCCCGCCAGUGGACUCACAGCCUGGCUCACCGGCCCUGUCGUCGUCAAGGAACAACGUUCACACUGCCGGCGCUCCUCACCACAGCCGGAUUCUGGACUUCUCAACAGACAGCCGUGGAGCACACACUCAGUGUUGAAGGGCUGCUGCAGUUACACUGGGAGUGAUGUAUCGGCUGACAUGGUCUGGCUCUUCAUACACUAUGUCUACAGAUAUAACUGCUGCACCAAAGUUGAACUUGAAUGUCAGAUACACGAGAACAAACCAAGAGAACUUGGGAGAGGAAAAUCAGGUUGAGCUCUUACAAGAAAAAGAGCGACAUGUGAAUCCUUGGUCACAAAACGCAAGAGCACACACUCAAACACUUUCUGCAAAUAUCACAAGAAAGUGUUUAAAGGCUGCUGCAGUUACUCUGGGAGUGCUGUAUCUUCUGACACUGUCUGGG